rnacentral:lncRNA from 1 species
AAUGAACGCAGCAGGCAGUAUAAUGCUGCGUUCACGCCAUAUCGUAAUUACCGUAAUUUCGAGAUGACAGCACGUGACGUUCUACUCGGAGCUGUUCACGUCCUCGGGCUCGGACUCGGAAUUAUGCUUUUCUGUGGCAACACUAUCAACGCCUAAACAGAGCCUGCGGCGGUCAUGUGGCACAAGUCGUAGCUCUCAGAAAACUCCCAGUUCACAAGUUGUAAUUACGAGUUCUACGAGGAUGUGAACGCUUUUUACAAGUUGGAAUCUCGUAAUUACGGGAAUUCCGAUAUGGCGUGAACGCACCAUAAGCACACGUGACAUGGCAUUCCCGCAUCUGCGCACGCGCCCGCGCUCGCUCUCACCUCAUGCUUGUGGUUGAAUACAAAUGAUCAACAUAAUUAAUGGACAACUAGGCUAUAUCAGGGAAAACACAUCAGCGCAGUCCGGCGUAGAGAAAAGAAAAAGAAAAAGCCCAAGAUGAAGCCCGUGCAUCACUUUCAGCUUUGACUUUAUUCUGUCUGAUAUCUGUUCCCUUCAGAAGCUCUAUUAAAGAAUAUUAAGAGUAUUCUCAGAGAACAGCCUGAUGUUACAGCAGUUCAUUUCAGUGAGAUCGAGGAAUCAUCCCAAAGGAAGCACUUCACUACCUGUAUGGAUAACUGAAGACUCAGGUCAUUUCCUGUUGAUACGGCAUCAUCACGGUAGUUCUCUUACUGAUUUUGA